UACGGGGGGGGUAAGCGUUGUUCGGAAUUACUGGGCGUAAAGAGCUCGUAGGCGGCCAACUAAGUCGGACGUGAAAUCCCUCAGCUUAACUGGGGAACUGCGUCUGAUACUGGAUGGCUUGGAUUUGGGAGAGGGAUGCGGAAUUCCAGGUGUAGCGGUGAAAUGCGUAGAUAUCUGGAGGAACACCGGUGGCGAAGGCGGCAUCCUGGACCAACAUUGACGCUGAGGAGCGAAAGCCAGGGGAGCAAACGGG
rnacentral:rRNA from 1 species